AUUAGGAAUCUUGCGCAAUGGACGAAAGUCUGACGCAGCGACGCCGCGUGGAGGAUGACGGCCUUCGGGUUGUAAACUCCUUUUAUCAGGAAACAAUAAAUGAGGGUACCUGAUGAAUAAGGCCCCCCUAACUACGUGCCAGAAGGGUCGGUGAUGCGUAGGGGCCAAACGUUAUCCGGAAUUACUGGGCGUAAAGAGAUGCGUAGGCGACUAGGCAAGUCUAAUGUGAAAGACCGAGGCUCAACUUCGGAAUUGCGUUAGAAACUGCUUAGAUUGAGUCAGAUAGAGGGAGGCGGAAUUUCUGGUGUAGCGGUGAAAUGCGUUGAUAUCAGAAAGAACACCAAUUGCGAAGGCAACCUCCUGGGUCUUGACUGACGCUAAGGCUCGAAAGCGUGGGUAGCAAAACGGAUUAGAAACCCCAGUAGUCC
rnacentral:rRNA from 1 species